rnacentral:misc_RNA from 1 species
GAUGAAGAACGUAGCGAAAUGCGAUAAGUAGUGUGAAUUGCAGAAUUCAGUGAAUCAUCGAAUCUUUGAACGCACCUUGCGCUCCUUGGUAUUCCGAGGAGCAUGCCUGUUUGAGUGUCAUUAAAUUCUCAACCUCACCUGGUUUCUGACUUGUGUGAUGGCUUGGAUUUGGGAGUUGUGCAGGCUGUAGUUAUCUGCGGCUCUGCUCUCCUUAAAUGUAUUAGCAGGUCUUUUACCUCUAUCCCAACAGUGUGAUAAUCUAUCUACGCUGCUGGUUUGGAGACCCACUUGUGGGGGACUGGCUUCUAAUCGUCUGCAAAGACAACUUGACAUUCUUGACCUCAAAUCAGGUAGGACUACCCGCUGAACUUAAGCAUAUCAAUAAGCGGAGGA